rnacentral:rRNA from 1 species
CAGCCAUGCCGCGUGUGGAAAGGCCUUAUGGUUGUAAAGCACUUUAAGCGAGGAGGAGGCUUACCUAAAUAAUACCUAGGAUAAGUGGACGUUACUCGCAGAAUAAGCACCGGCUAACUCUGUGCCAG